rnacentral:rRNA from 1 species
UUCGCAAUGCCCGAAAGGGUGACGAAGCGACGCCGCGUGUGGGAAGAAGGCCUUCGGGUUGUAAACCACUGUCGGGAGUUAGGAAAUGUAAGGGUGUUAAUAGCAUCCUUACUUGACUAAGGCUCCGGAGGAAGCCACGGCUAACUCUGUGCCAGCAGCCGCGGUAAUACAGAGGCGGCAAGCGUUGUUCGGAAUUAUUGGGCGUAAAGAGCACGUAGGCGGCCUUGUAAGUCAGUUGUGAAAGCCUUCUGCUUAACGGAAGAACAGCAGCUGAUACUGCAAGGCUAGAGUGCGGAAGGGGAGAGUGGAACUUCUGGUGGAGCGGUGAAAUGCGUAGAUAUCAGAAGGAACACCGGCGGCGAAGGCGACUCUCUGGUCCGUAACUGACGCUGAGUGUGCGAAAGCUAGGGGAGCAAACGGGAUUAGAUACCCCGGUAGUCCUAGCCGUAAACGAUGGGCACUAA